rnacentral:rRNA from 1 species
CCUACGGGAGGCUGCAGUCGAGAAUCUUCGGCAAUGGGCGCAAGCCUGACCGAGCGACGCCGCGUGGAGGAUGAAGGCCUUCGGGUUGUAAACUCCUGUUGGGGGGGCUCAAAUCAAUGAGAUAACCCCUGAGGAAGCACGGGCUAAGUUCGUGCCAGCAGCCGCGGUAAGACGAACCGUGCAAACGUUAUUCGGAAUCAUUGGGCUUAAAGAGCGCGUAGGCGGCGUCGUAAGUUGGAGGUGAAAUCCCAUCGGCUCAACCGUGGAACUGCCCC